UACAGAGGUCCCAAGCGUUGUUCGGAUUUACUGGGCGUAAAGGGUGCGUAGGUGGCGAGGUAAGUUCGAUGUGAAAUCUCCGAGCUCAACUCGGAAAUGGCAUUGAAUACUAUCCCGCUUGAGGGUCGGAGGGGAGACUGGAAUUCGUCGGUGUAGCAGUGAAAUGCGUAGAUAUCGAGAGGAACACCAGUGGCGAAGGCGAGUCUCUGGACGACUCCUGACACUGAGGCACGAAAGCUGGGGGAGCAAACAGG
rnacentral:rRNA from 1 species